GAUGAACGCUGGCGGCGUGCUUAACACAUGCAAGUCGAACGGAAAGGCCCAAGCUUGCUUGGGUUCUCGAGUGGCGAACGGGUGAGUAACACGUGGGUGAUCUGCCCCGCACUUCGGGAUAAGCCUGGGAAACUGGGUCUAAUACCGGAUAGGACCACUUCUUGGAUGUUGUGGUGGAAAGUUUUUCCGGUGUGGGAUGAGCUCGCGGCCUAUCAGCUUAUUAGUGGGGUAAUGGCCUACCAAGGCGUCGGCGGGUAGCCGGACGGAGAGGGUGUGAGGCGGCAUUGACACUUAGAGAAGGCCGAGACACGUACGCGAGGGAGAUGUGGGGAAUAUUGCAGAAGGGGCGCAGGCCGAAUGCAGAGGCGCCGCGGGGGGGAUGACGGUCUUCGGGUUGUAGACUCAUUUCGCUAGGGACGAAGCGUUUUGUGACGGUACCUGGAGAAGAAGCACCGGCUAACUACGUG
rnacentral:rRNA from 1 species